GUCUACGGCCAUGCCACCCUGAACAAGACCGAUCCCCUCGGAUCUCAGAAGCUAAGCAGGGUCGGGCCUGGUGAGUACUUGGAUGGGAGACCACCUAGGAAGACCAGGUGCUGUAGGUG
rnacentral:rRNA from 1 species